CUUUCUGUAAGCCCUGUCACUGUCUAGAAUAACCAAAGUGCAACAGAAGCAUUACCAUUAUUUUGGUAAUAGCCUUACGAGCAAAGCACGGUCACAUCAAUGCCUAGUAGAUUGUACAGUCUAUUCCAAAAUGUAUUGCAGGCAGCAGGAAACAGUUCAGCUUUUGUACAAAACAUGGAAUUUCAUUGCAUUUAUCGUGUCGAGCACUGGUUAAUGCACGAAUUGGCGAUUAGCCAUUUCAUUAUGGUUACUGUAGAAACCGGGAUUGGGAGGUUGAUGAGAGUGCGACUUAUUUUUAAACUAGAUAGAUUUAUGAGCAAUAUAAAUGCAAUUUUAUUCAUCACA
rnacentral:lncRNA from 1 species